rnacentral:rRNA from 1 species
GGCUUACCAUGCAGUCGAGGGGCAGCAUUUCAGUUUGCUUGCAAACUGGAGAUGGCGACCGGCGCACGGGUGAGUAACACGUAUCCAACCUGCCGAUAACUCGGGGAUAGCCUUUCGAAAGAAAGAUUAAUACCCGAUGGNAUAAUCAGACCGCAUGGUNUUAUUAUUAAAGAAUUUCGGUUAUCGAUGGGGAUGCGUUCCAUUAGGCAGUUGGUGAGGUAACGGCUCACCAAACCUUCGAUGGAUAGGGGUUCUGAGAGGAAGGUCCCCCACAUUGGAACUGAGACACGGUCCAAACUCCUACGGGAGGCAGCAGUGAGGAAUAUUGGUCAAUGGGCGCAGGCCUGAACCAGCCAAGUAGCGUGAAGGAUGACUGCCCUAUGGGUUGUAAACUUCUUUUAUAUGGGAAUAAAGUUUUCCACGUGUGGAAUUUUGUAUGUACCAUAUGAAUAAGGAUCGGCUAACUCCGUGCCAGCAGCCGCGGUAAUACGGAGGAUCCGAGCGUUAUCCGGAUUUAUUGGGUUUAAAGGGAGCGUAGGUGGACAGUUAAGUCAGUUGUGAAAGUUUGCGGCUCAACCGUAAAAUUGCAGUUGAUACUGGCUGUCUUGAGUACAGUAGAGGUGGGCGGAAUUCGUGGUGUAGCGGUGAAAUGCUUAGAUAUCACGAAGAACUCCGAUUGCGAAGGCAGCUCACUGGACUGCAACUGACACUGAUGCUCGAAAGUGUGGGUAUCAAACAGGAUUAGAUACCCUGGUAGUCCACACAGUAAACGAUGAAUACUCGCUGUUUGCGAUAUACAGUAAGCGGCCAAGCGAAAGCAUUAAGUAUUCCACCUGGGGAGUACGCCGGCAACGGUGAAACUCAAAGGAAUUGACGGGGGCCCGCACAAGCGGAGGAACAUGUGGUUUAAUUCGAUGAUACGCGAGGAACCUUACCCGGGCUUAAAUUGCAUUUGAAUAAUNUGGAAACAGGUUAGCCGCAAGGCAAAUGUGAAGGUGCUGCAUGGUUGUCGUCAGCUCGUGCCGUGAGGUGUCGGCUUAAGUGCCAUAACGAGCGCAACCCUUAUCUUUAGUUACUAACAGGUCAUGCUGAGGACUCUAGAGAGACUGCCGUCGUAAGAUGUGAGGAAGGUGGGGAUGACGUCAAAUCAGCACGGCCCUUACGUCCGGGGCUACACACGUGUUACAAUGGGGGGUACAGAAGGCAGCUACCUGGUGACAGGAUGCUAAUCCCAAAAGCCUCUCUCAGUUCGGAUCGAAGUCUGCAACCCGACUUCGUGAAGCUGGAUUCGCUAGUAAUCGCGCAUCAGCCAUGGCGCGGUGAAUACGUUCCCGGGCCUUGUACACANCGCCCGUCAAGCCAUGAAAGCCGGGGGUACCUGAAGUACGUAACCGCAAGGAGCUCCUAG